rnacentral:lncRNA from 1 species
GACAACACACGCAUACAGUGUCUUCCUCCUCUUCCUCUUGUGUCAGAGGGAGGAAGAGGAGGAGGGACUUGUUCACGUCAUACCAACUGGUGCUUCAUAUCCUAGUCAUUGUGGUGCAGUUCGGUAGCAAACACUGAAACAGAAAUCAGCAAGUAAGAAAUUCUUCAUAUCAUCGCGUGCUGCAGGUCUAGUCGGCAAGCAAAGAAAGCUGCUUCCGUUGAACGUAUCAAUUGGAGUCUUGUGAAUCCGUCACUGGAAAUAGUUCCAGAUUUGGCUACCUAAAAAGGUGUUCAUCGCAUAACCAUCCAUCCAGACUGGAUGACCCCAACGAAGAAGCAGAUCAUCAUUGGUCUUUCUUUUGGAUAAAGAACCGGGGAACGACGCAGCUUAAACAUAACUGGAAACUGGAACCUACUGG